rnacentral:rRNA from 1 species
UACGAAGGGGGCUAGCGUUGCUCGGAAUCACUGGGCGUAAAGGGUGCGUAGGCGGGUCUUUAAGUCAGGGGUGAAAUCCUGGAGCUCAACUCCAGAACUGCCUUUGAUACUGAAGAUCUUGAGUUCGGGAGAGGUGAGUGGAACUGCGAGUGUAGAGGUGAAAUUCGUAGAUAUUCGCAAGAACACCGGUGGCGAAGGCGGCUCACUGGCUCGUAACUGACGCUCAGGCGCGACAGCGUGGGGAUCAAACAGG